UACCAGCACCCCGAGUGGUCGGGACGUUUAUUGGGCCUAAAGCAUCCGUAGCCGGUUCUACAAGUCUUCCGUUAAAUCCACCUGCUCAACAGAUGGGCUGCGGAAGAUACUAUGGAGCUAGGAGGCGGGAGAGGCAAGCGGUACUCGAUGGGUAGGGGUAAAAUCCGUUGAUCCAUUGAAGACCACCAGUGGCGAAGGCGGCUUGCCAGAACGCGCUCGACGGUGAGGGAUGAAAGCUAGGGGAGCGAACAGG
rnacentral:rRNA from 1 species